AGAGUUUGAUCCUGGCUCAGGAUGAACGCUGGCGGCGUGCUUAACACAUGCAAGUCGAACGGGGUACCCAUGACGGAGGCUUCGGCCAACUGAAUGGAAUACCUAGUGGCGGACGGGUGAGUAACGCGUGAGGAACCUGCCUUGGAGUGGGGAAUAACAGUUAGAAAUAGCUGCUAAUACCGCAUAAUGCAGCGAAGUCGCAUGGCUUUGCUGCCAAAGAUUUAUCGCUCUGAGAUGGCCUCGCGUCUGAUUAGAUAGUUGGCGGGGUAACGGCCCACCAAGUCGACGAUCAGUAGCCGGACUGAGAGGUUGGCCGGCCACAUUGGGACUGAGACACGGCCCAGACUCCUACGGGAGGCAGCAGUGGGGAAUAUUGGGCAAUGGGCGCAAGCCUGACCCAGCAACGCCGCGUGAAGGAAGAAGGCCUUCGGGUUGUAAACUUCUUUUGUCAGGGACGAAGAAAGUGACGGUACCUGACGAAUAAGCCACGGCUAACUACGUG
rnacentral:rRNA from 1 species